CAUGCGGACACCGACGAUGAUGAUGACAUCAUCGACGAGUACGAUGACAUCACUCGCGGUGGAGUGCAGCCCGAAAGGGGCCCUUUGCAGAACUACAUGGCACAACAACUCGGGCGUCUCGCUAAUGAGGCAGGCGUGGCAAUGGCUCAUUCAAGUGAAGGAGACAAUGGAGGGGGCCACUUUAGGGCAUUUGUCGAGAGGGUCCGCCAGAGUUGCAGGCGGAUGGCCGCGAAGCUUAAUUGCAUGGCUCGCCCUGAUGAGGAGUUCGGUCCACAGGCACC